UUUUUUUUCUAAUGGCAUAUUUAUGUAAUUACUUACAAAAAUUAAGGUUACAUUUAAAAUGUACUUCCCAAAUAAUAUAGUAGGAUUUUGGUUGCUUCGUAUCUCCUUUCCAUUUAUACUAGAUUCUGAUCCGCACAUACGUGCGGGGUUUCAUAUUUUAAGAAAUAUAUUAGAAUACAUUUUUAGUGAAAGAUAUUGUAGUGUAUAAAUUAUAAGGUGUAUAGAAAAGUAUAUAGUAUUAUUUAUUAUAUAAUA
rnacentral:sRNA from 1 species